rnacentral:rRNA from 1 species
AAAAAGGGGGGGGAAAAAAAAAGGGGGGGGGGGGGGGGGAGGGAAAAAGGAAAAAAAGAAUGGGGAGGGGGAAAAGGGGGGGGGGAAGGGGGAGGGGGAAACGGCGGCGGAGAGGAAAAAAAAAGGGAAAAAAGGGAGAAAAAAGGGAAAACCCCCCCAAAAACCCAAAUCCCAAAAUGGAAAUUUUAAAUUUUAAUUUUUUUUCGGGUUACCCAAUCCGGGGUUUUGGGUGGGUAGUUUUUCUUGCCCUUGUAUUUUCUUAGUUUGUUUUGCUUUUUUGGGGGGGGGGGGCCGGGCCCCUAGGCUAACCCGUUGCGACCAUAAAAGCUUUCUCUUUUGGUUAGGGGGGAGGGGUGAUACACGUGUGUAACUCUCCUCUUAAAGGUUGGGUUACUUGGGACACGGGGAUCUACCCCCGAUACCUUUGGGACCGCCUGGUUCAAAAGGAAAAGGUGUUUUCCUUUCCAUUUAUAGGCGGCCCCCGCCCUGAAUUACUUAGGUGGAAAGGAACGGUCUAACCAAGGGGACGAUACGUACCCCCCCUGAGGAGGUGUAUCGGCCCACCUGGAAAUUAGACCCCGGUCCCAGCUUCCUACGGGGAGCCACCAGUAGGGAAUCUUCCGCAAUGGGGGAAACCCUGACGGAGCAACCCCCGCGUGAGUGAUGAAGGGUUUCGGCUCGUAAAACUCUGUUAUUAGGGAAGAACAAAUGUGUAAGUAACUGUGCACGUCUUGACGGUACCUAAUCAGAAAGCCACGGCUAACUACGUGCCAGCAGCCGCGGUAAUACGUAGGUGGCAAGCGUUAUCCGGAAUUAUUGGGCGUAAAGCGCGCGUAGGCGGUUUCUUAAGUCUGAUGUGAAAGCCCACGGCUCAACCGUGGAGGGUCAUUGGAAACUGGGAAACUUGAGUGCAGAAGAGGAAAGUGGAAUUCCAUGUGUAGCGGUGAAAUGCGCAGAGAUAUGGAGGAACACCAGUGGCGAAGGCGACUUUCUGGUCUGUAACUGACGCUGAUGUGCGAAAGCGUGGGGAUCAAACAGGAUUAGAUACCCUGGUAGUCCACGCCGUAAACGAUGAGUGCUAAGUGUUAGGGGGUUUCCGCCCCUUAGUGCUGCAGCUAACGCAUUAAGCACUCCGCCUGGGGAGUACGACCGCAAGGUUGAAACUCAAAGGAAUUGACGGGGACCCGCACAAGCGGUGGAGCAUGUGGUUUAAUUCGAAGCAACGCGAAGAACCUUACCAAAUCUUGACAUCCUUUGAAAACUCUAGAGAUAGAGCCUUCCCCUUCGGGGGACAAAGUGACAGGUGGUGCAUGGUUGUCGUCAGCUCGUGUCGUGAGAUGUUGGGUUAAGUCCCGCAACGAGCGCAACCCUUAAGCUUAGUUGCCAUCAUUAAGUUGGGCACUCUAGGUUGACUGCCGGUGACAAACCGGAGGAAGGUGGGGAUGACGUCAAAUCAUCAUGCCCCUUAUGAUUUGGGCUACACACGUGCUACAAUGGACAAUACAAAGGGCAGCUAAACCGCGAGGUCAUGCAAAUCCCAUAAAGUUGUUCUCAGUUCGGAUUGUAGUCUGCAACUCGACUACAUGAAGCUGGAAUCGCUAGUAAUCGUAGAUCAGCAUGCUACGGUGAAUACGUUCCCGGGUCUUGUACACACCGCCCGUCACACCACGAGAGUUUGUAACACCCGAAGCCGGUGGAGUAACCAUUUAUGGAGCUAGCCGUCGAAGGUGGACAAAUGAUUGGGGGAAGUCGUAACAAAGAUGCCUGGG